rnacentral:rRNA from 1 species
AUAUGCUUACAACAUAGCGUUAAUGCACCGGAUCCCAUUAGAAAUUCGCAGUUAAGUGUGCUUAGGCUAGAUUAGUACUGGGAUGGGUGACCGCCCAUGAAGUCCUACUGUUUUACAUGCC